rnacentral:rRNA from 2 species
CUAAAACUUUCAACAACGGAUCUCUUGGUUCUGGCAUCGAUGAAGAACGCAGCGAAAUGCGAUAAGUAAUGUGAAUUGCAGAAUUCAGUGAAUCAUCGAAUCUUUGAACGCACAUUGCGCCCCUUGGUAUUCCGAGGGGCAUGCCUGUUCGAGCGUCAUU